UGGGGAAUAUUGGACAAUGGGGGCAACCCUGAUCCAGCAAUGCCGCGUGUGUGAAGAAGGUCUUCGGAUUGUAAAGCACUUUCGACGGGGACGAUGAUGACGGUACCCGUAGAAGAAGCCCCGGCUAACUUCGUGCCAGCAGCCGCGGUAAUACGAAGGGGGCUAGCGUUGCUCGGAAUGACUGGGCGUAAAGGGCGUGUAGGCGGUUUACACAGUCAGAUGUGAAAUCCCCGGGCUUAACCUGGGAGCUGCAUUUGAUACGUGUAGACUAGAGUGUGAGAGAGGGUUGUGGAAUUCCCAGUGUAGAGGUGAAAUUCGUAGAUAUUGGGAAGAACACCGGUGGCGAAGGCGGCAACCUGGCUCAUGACUGACGCUGAGGCGCGAAAGCGUGGGGAGCAAACAGGAUUAGAUACCCUGGUAGUCCAUGCCGUAAACGAUGAGCGCUAGGUGUUGGGGACUUUCCGGUCCUCAGUGCCGCAGCAAA
rnacentral:rRNA from 1 species